GAUGAACGCUGGCGGCGUGCCUAAUACAUGCAAGUCGAGCGAACAGACGAGGAGCUUGCUCCUCUGACGUUAGCGGCGGACGGGUGAGUAACACGUGGAUAACCUACCUAUAAGACUGGGAUAACUUCGGGAAACCGGAGCUAAUACCGGAUAAUAUAUUGAACCGCAUGGUUCAAUAGUGAAAGACGGUUUUGCUGUCACUUAUAGAUGGAUCCGCGCCGCAUUAGCUAGUUGGUAAGGUAACGGCUUACCAAGGCGACGAUGCGUAGCCGACCUGAGAGGGGUGUCGGCCAAACCGGAAAUUGGGCAACGUUCCGACUCCCAAGGGAGGGAGCCGGAGGGGAUCUUCCGGCAUGGGGGGAAGGCUUAAGGAGGAAAGGCGGGGGGGGGAAGAAGGGUUUCCGAUCGGUAAAACCCGGUAAUUGGGAAGAAACAAAGGUGAAGGUAACUAUGAACGUCUGGACGGACCCAAAUAGGAAGGCCACGCUAACUUCGUG
rnacentral:rRNA from 1 species